CGAAUGGAAAAUCUCGCGAGAUAGCCCCGCCCCUUUCCCCCUUGUGGCUUUGUGGCCGCAAAGUGGACCUCGAAAGCAGUGCCUGUGUCCCGGGCGUAUCCUCUGACUGUUGUCGUGGCUGUCUCGGUCCACAGGACGACUGCUCGUGCUCUCGGAUGUGGAAAAUUAAGCGGACAUGGGGGGUCUCGGCCCCUGGUUGCUCCCAAUCAAGUCCCUCGAUAGGAAUGACUUUCGAGAUACCUCAUUGAU
rnacentral:misc_RNA from 1 species